UGAACGGCCACAUUGGGACUGAGAUACGGCCCAGACUCCUACGGGAGGCAGCAGUCGGGAAUAUUGCGCAAUGGAGGAAACUCUGACGCAGUGACGCCGCGUAUAGGAAGAAGGUUUUCGGAUUGUAAACUAUUGUCGUUAGGGAAGAUACAAGACAGUACCUAAGGAGGAAGCUCCGGCUAACUACGUGCCAGCAGCCGCGGUAAUACGUAGGGAGCAAGCGUUAUCCGGAUUUAUUGGGUGUAAAGGGUGCGUAGACGGGAAAGCAAGUUAGUUGUGAAAUCCCUCGGCUUAACUGAGGAACUGCAACUAAAACUACUUUUCUUGAGUGUUGGAGAGGAAAGUGGAAUUCCUAGUGUAGCGGUGAAAUGCGUAGAUAUUAGGAGGAACACCGGUGGCGAAGGCGACUUUCUGGACAAUAACUGACGUUGAGGCACGAAAGUGUGGGGAGCAAACAGGAUUAGAUACCCUGGUAGUCCACACCGUAAACGAUGGAUACUAGGUGUAGGAAAUGAUUUCAUUUUCUGUGCCGUCGCAAACGCAAUAAGUAUCCCACCUGGGGAGUACGGCCGCAAGGUUGAAACUCAAAGGAAUUGACGGGGGCCCGCACAAGCAGUGGAGUAUGUGGUUUAAUUCGACGCAACGCGAAGAACCUUACCAGGGCUUGACAUACAGAUGAAUAUACUAGAGAUAGUAUAGCUCUUCGGAGCAUCUGUACAGGUGGUGCAUGGUUGUCGUCAGCUCGUGUCGUGAGAUGUUAGGUUAAGUCCUGCAACGAGCGCAACCCCUGUGAUUAGUUGCCAACAGGUUAAGCUGGGAACUCUAAUCAGACUGCCGGUGAUAAAUCGGAGGAAGGUGGGGAUGACGUCAAAUCAUCAUGCCCUUUAUGUCCUGGGCUACACACGUACUACAAUGGCUGUAACAGAGAGAAGCAAAACAGUGAUGUUGAGCAAAACUUUAAAAAGCAGUCUCAGUUCGGAUUGAAGGCUGAAAUUCGCCUUCAUGAAGCCGGAAUUGCUAGUAAUGGCAGGUCAGCAUACUGCCGUGAAUACGUUCCCGGGCCUUGUACACACCGCCCGUCACACCAUGAGAGUUGGGAAUACCCGAAGCCUGUGAGCCAACUGUAAAGAGGCAGCAGUCGAAGGUAGAAUCAAUGAUUGGGGUGAAGUCGUAACAAGGUAGCCGUAUCAGAAGGUGCGGCUG
rnacentral:rRNA from 1 species